rnacentral:piRNA from 1 species
UAAACCAGGCGUGCCGUAUCUUCAUUAAU